rnacentral:rRNA from 1 species
AUGUUGCUGCGGUUAAAGGCUCGCAUUUGAAUGUCAGUUAAUAUACGCGUAGUAGGUGCCGGGACGUUGCGAGCUUCUUUCGUCAGAUCGUAGCGAGCCGUCUCUCCAAGUGCAUCUCUCGCGGGCUAACGAUUCGAUUAACGGGGUCGGCGAUCGGGACCCGCAAGGGAUUCGGUCUCCAAUACCCUGUUAGUUGACACCUUGAGUAAAUCAGAGUGCUUAAAGCAGUCGUUGAAACACUACGGCUGCGGCUUACCCUUGCGGGCUUAGUCGUGUGUCUGGUGACGGUGCGAGCCGUUUGGACAUUGUCUUUGCUUUGCAUGGUACGUCGAAAGACGCCGUGUGAGUUGGUUGCGCUUAUGGUGUCUGGUGUCGUAUGGGUAAAGUAUGCGCGGGCGCCAACAAGCACGGAAUGAUCUGAAAGGGAUGGCUCGAAGGCAUUGGUAUUGCGGGGCUAGAGGUGAAAUUCUAUGACCCCCGCAAGACUACCCGAAGCGAAAGCGUCUGCCUAGGACGUCUUCAUUAAUCAUGAACGAAAGUUGCAGGAUCGAAGGCGAUCAGAUACCGCCCUAGUUGUAACUGUAAACGAUACCAACCAUCAAUCCGUCAUAGCGUUCUCUUUUGCUUAGGGAGGCGAACUUGUUCUCUUCCUAAGCUGAGUGUAAGCGCUCGAUGGGCAGCUCUAUUCGGACGGAAAACCAGAGUUUUUCGGUUCCGGGGGGAGUCUGGUUGCAAAGCUGAAACUUAAAGGAAUUGACGGAAAGGCACCACCAGGCGUGGAGCUUGCGGCUCAAUUUGACUCAACACGGGAAAACUUACCAGACCCGAACAUCUUUGAUGAUUGACAGAUUGAAAGUUCUUUCUUGAUAAAGUGGAUGGUGGUGCAUGGCCGUUCUUAGUUGGUGGAGUGAUCUGUCUGGUUAAUUCCGAUAACGAACGAGACUUUCCCCUGCUAAUGAACUUUGUGUUCUUUUAGACAGUGCGAUUCGGAACAAGGACCCAAGAGCGUAAGCUCCGGGACCGGACGAUGUCCACUGAUCCUUGGCGCGUCGUUUUUGCGUGCUUGUGCGCGUAGCCUUCUGGUCGCGUGUGCUUGCGUGCGUCUUCGGCAAAGCGUCUUGGAGUACGUUUCUUCUUAGAGGGAUUGACGGCUUUUAAGUCGUAAGAAACAGGAAGCAAUAACAGGUCUGUGAUGCCCUUAGAUGUUCUGGGCUGCACGCGUGUUACAAUGCCGGUCUCACCGGGUUCUUACACUUAUCGUGGCCUACUCCGAAAGGAGCGGGUAAACCUGUGAAAUACCUUUUGCGCUGUUUCACGAUAGUGCUAGCUCGGCAUGCUUGGGACUGGGGAUUGCAAUUAUUCCCCACGAACUAGGAAUGCCUAGUAGUGGCGAAUCACAGAGUUCGCUGCGACUCUGUCCCUGCCCUUUGUACACACCGCCCGUCGCUACUACCGAUUGGGACCUAAGCUAAGCUUUUUGGAUCGGCGAAAGGAGGACCAUUCCAUUGGCACUAGACGCCGAGAAGAGACGCGAAGCUUCUGUUCAGAGAA